rnacentral:rRNA from 1 species
UACGAAGGGGGCUAGCGUUGUUCGGAAUCACUGGGCGUAAAGCGCACGUAGGCGGAUUGUCAAGUUGGGUGUGAAAUCGCGGGGCUUAACCUCGGAACUGCAUUCAAUACUGCCAAGCUUGAGUCCGAGAGAGGUGAGUGGAAUUCCCAGUGUAGAGGUGAAAUUCGUAGAUAUUAGGAAGAACACCAGUGGCGAAGGCGGCUCGCUGGGUCGGGACUGACGCUGAGGGGCGAAAGCGUGGGGAGCAAACAGG